UCAUCCCUUCUUUCAUUCUUUUCUCUUGACGUGAACCCAUUUCCCAUUCUCGUUCUCCUCUCGUUCGUUUUUCUCUUUUUCUUCCCUGAUCUAGGGAUUCAUCCACAGAUCGUUGCUAGAUCCAGUAAGUGAGAAGGACAUGGUGAGUAUGAUUUGCGGCAGAUUGUCGUGGUUGCAGGCUCUCAACGGCGGCCGGUCCUCCAGCUCGACUACACGUGCCUGUUGCUCGCCCGCCGCCGUCGAUGGAUGGACGUGGAGUUCGCCCCCUUGAACCUAGCGGCGGCUCUCCUCCAGACGGAGAGGGUGUUCUCCGGUGAGGUACUGCUCAGAAGCUCAUGGAGAGGUGACCAAUAUGCGCAUGGAGUUUUUUUAGGAUCAAGCGAGCGAAGACUUGCCUCAAUUUAUGUCAGAGUUGCUCAUACCCCCCUGCCCUUUUGCUUACCUUGCGUUAUUUUGAGGAAUUAACUUUUUUUCAGUUGACAUUCUGCCCAACUUAGAUCGUCUCUUCAACUUAGCUUGUCUCUUCAACACAUCCAUAUUAAUUAUAUGAAGUUCCGUAUAGCAAAAGGUUUUCAAUACUUCAUUGGUUUGUGUACUACCUAUAACACAUAUAAUCUUUCAAUAAUUCAUUGACUUGUCUGUACUUGUUAACAUUUAUAUACGUGAAUACACAUACAUUUAUUUGGUUGA